GUCGGUCAGUUGGUUAUGAAUUC
rnacentral:miRNA from 15 species